UCACUGGAUUUUCUGAAUGAAAAAUCCACCCAUAUUUUCUGAAAAAUCUUAU
rfam:Chelonia mydas contig152953, whole genome shotgun sequence.